UGGAUCAGUGGCGAACGGGUGAGUAACACGUGAGCAACCUGCCCUGGACUCUGGGAUAAGCGCUGGAAACGGCGUCUAAUACUGGAUAUGAGACGUGAUCGCAUGGUCGUGUUUGGAAAGAUUUUUCGGUCUGGGAUGGGCUCGCGGCCUAUCAGCUUGUUGGUGAGGUAAUGGCUCACCAAGGCGUCGACGGGUAGCCGGCCUGAGAGGGUGACCGGCCACACUGGGACUGAGACACGGCCCAAACUCCUACGGGAGGCAGCAGUGGGGAAUAUUGCACAAUGGGCGGAAGCCUGAUGCAGCAACGCCGCGUGAGGGAUGACGGCCUUCGGGUUGUAAACCUCUUUUAGCAGGGAAGAAGCGAAAGUGACGGUACCUGCAAAAAAAGCGCCGGCUAACUACGUGCCAGCAGCCGCGGUAAUACGUAGGGCGCAAGCGUUAUCCGGAAUUAUUGGGCGUAAAGAGCUCGUAGGCGGUUUGUCGCGUCUGCUGUGAAAUCCCGAGGCUCAACCUCGGGCC
rnacentral:rRNA from 1 species